CAGCGCUACGGUAACACAGAGGGUGCGAGCGUUAAUCGGAUUUACUGGGCGUAAAGCGUGCGUAGGCGGCUAAUUGAGUCGGAUGUGAAAUCCCCGAGCUUAACUUGGGAAUUGCAUUCGAUACUGGUUAGCUAGAGUGUGGGAGAGGAUGGUAGAAUUCCAGGUGUAGCGGUGAAAUGCGUAGAGAUCUGGAGGAAUACCGAUGGCGAAGGCAGCCAUCUGGCCUAACACUGACGCUGAGGUACGAAAGCAUGGGGAGCAAACAGGAUUAGAUACCCCCGUAGUUCCUGUCUCUUAUACA
rnacentral:rRNA from 1 species